UACACAUGCAGUCGACGGAAAGGCCCUUCGGGGUACUCGAGUGGCGAACGGGUGAGUAACACGUGGGUGAUCUGCCCUGCACUUUGGGAUAAGCCUGGGAAACUGGGUCUAAUACCGAAUAGGACCACGCGCUUCAUGGUGUGUGGUGGAAAGCUUUUGCGGUGUGGGAUGGGCCCGCGGCCUAUCAGCUUGUUGGUGGGGUAAUGGCCUACCAAGGCGACGACGGGUAGCCGGCCUGAGAGGGUGACCGGCCACACUGGGACUGAGAUACGGCCCAGACUCCUACGGGAGGCAGCAGUGGGGAAUAUUGCACAAUGGGCGCAAGCCUGAUGCAGCGACGCCGCGUGAGGGAUGACGGCCUUCGGGUUGUAAACCUCUUUCAAUAGGGACGAAGCGCGAGUGACGGUACCUAUAGAAGAAGCACCGGCCAACUACGUGCCAGCAGCCGCGGUAAUACGUAGGGUGCGAGCGUUGUCCGGAAUUACUGGGCGUAAAGAGCUCGUAGGUGGUUUGUCGCGUUGUUCGUGAAAACUCACAGCUUAACUGUGGGCGUGCGGGCGAUACGGGCAGACUAGAGUACUGCAGGGGAGACUGGAAUUCCUGGUGUAGCGGUGGAAUGCGCAGAUAUCAGGAGGAACACCGGUGGCGAAGGCGGGUCUCUGGGCAGUAACUGACGCUGAGGAGCGAAAGCGUGGGGAGCGAACAGGAUUAGAUACCCUGGUAGUCCACGCCGUAAACGGUGGGUACUAGGUGUGGGUUCCUUCCUUGGGAUCCGUGCCGUAGCUAACGCAUUAAGUACCCCGCCUGGGGAGUACGGCCGCAAGGCUAAAACUCAAAGGAAUUGACGGGGGCCCGCACAAGCGGCGGAGCAUGUGGAUUAAUUCGAUGCAACGCGAAGAACCUUACCUGGGUUUGACAUGCACAGGACGCCGGCAGAGAUGUCGGUUCCCUUGUGGCCUGUGUGCAGGUGGUGCAUGGCUGUCGUCAGCUCGUGUCGUGAGAUGUUGGGUUAAGUCCCGCAACGAGCGCAACCCUUGUCCUAUGUUGCCAGCGGGUUAUGCCGGGGACUCGUAGGAGACUGCCGGGGUCAACUCGGAGGAAGGUGGGGAUGACGUCAAGUCAUCAUGCCCCUUAUGUCCAGGGCUUCACACAUGCUACAAUGGCCGGUACAAAGGGCUGCGAUGCCGUGAGGUGGAGCGAAUCCUUUCAAAGCCGGUCUCAGUUCGGAUCGGGGUCUGCAACUCGACCCCGUGAAGUCGGAGUCGCUAGUAAUCGCAGAUCAGCAACGCUGCGGUGAAUACGUUCCCGGGCCUUGUACACACCGCCCGUCACGUCAUGAAAGUCGGUAACACCCGAAGCCGGUGGCCUAACCCUUGUGGAGGGAGCCGUCGA
rnacentral:rRNA from 1 species